rnacentral:rRNA from 2 species
GGGAACUCAAAGGAGACUGCCGGUGAUAAACCGGAGGAAGGUGGGGAUGACGUCAAGUCAUCAUGGCCCUUACGAGUAGGGCUACACACGUGCUACAAUGGCAUAUACAAAGAGAAGCGAACUCGCGAGAGCAAGCGGACCUCAUAAAGUAUGUCGUAGUCCGGAUCGGAGUCUGCAACUCGACUCCGUGAAGUCGGAAUCGCUAGUAAUCGUAGAUCAGAAUGCUACGGUGAAUACGUUCCCGGGCCUUGUACACACCGCCCGUCACACCAUGGGAGUGGGUUGCAAAAGAAGUAGGUAGCUUAACCUUCGGGAGGGCGCUUACCACUUUGUGAUUCAUGACUGGGGUGAAGUCGUAACAAGGUAACCGUAGGGGAACCUGCGGUUGGAUCACCUCCUUA